rnacentral:tRNA from 1 species
GCUCAGUUGGUUAAGCGUCUGACUUUGGCUCAGGUCAUGAUCUCAUAGUUUGUGGGUUCAAGCCCCACAUUGGGCU